AGCCCGAUAGUCUAGUGGUCAAGGAUUCUGCCCUCUGGAUCUCAAGAGUGGAUAGGCGGAGACGGCAGUUCGAAUCUGCCUCGGGCUAC
rnacentral:tRNA from 2 species